CCCUAAAACUAAAGCUCUUUGAAGUUCUCAAUAAUUUUUAAGAGUGUAAAAGAUAGGGUUGCAAGUAAGCAGGGUGGGGCCUGGUUAGUACUUGGAUGGAAGACCACCUAGGAAGACCAGGUGCUGUAGGCG
ensembl:rRNA 5S_rRNA 5S ribosomal RNA